GACGAACCGUGCGAACGUUGUUCGGAAUCACUGGGCUUAAAGGGAGCGUAGGCGGGCUAUCAAGUCUGGGGUGAAAGCCCGUUGCUCAACAACGGAACUGCCCUGGAAACUGGUUAGCUUGAGUACAGACGAGGGUGGCGGAAUGGAUACUGUAGCGGUGAAAUGCAUAGAUAGUAUCCAGAACCCCGAUUGCGAAGCAGCUGCCUAGACUGUAACUGACGUGGAGGCACGAAAAGCGUGGGGAGCGAACAGG
rnacentral:rRNA from 1 species